rnacentral:rRNA from 1 species
GACGAACGCUGGCGGCGUGCCUAAUACAUGCAAGUAGAACGCUGAAGCUUGGUGCUUGCACCGAGCGGAUGAGUUGCGAACGGGUGGGUAACGCGUAGGUAACCUGCCUGGUAGCGGGGGAUAACUAUUGGAAACGAUAGCUAAUACCGCAUAACAGUAGAUAUCGCAUGAUAGCUACUUGAAAGGUGCAAAUGCACCACUACCAGAUGGACCUGCGUUGUAUUAGCUAGUUGGUGAGGUAACGGCUCACCAAGGCAACGAUACAUAGCCGACCUGAGAGGGUGAUCGGCCACACUGGGACUGAGACACGGCCCAGACUCCUACGGGAGGCAGCAGUAGGGAAUCUUCGGCAAUGGACGGAAGUCUGACCGAGCAACGCCGCGUGAGUGAAGAAGGUUUUCGGAUCGUAAAGCUCUGUUGUAAGAGAAGAACGAGUGUGAGAGUGGAAAGUUCACACUGUGACGGUAUCUUACCAGAAAGGGACGGCUAACUACGUG